rnacentral:rRNA from 1 species
UUCAAAUGAAUGAAGGGCACACGGUGGAUGCCUUGGCAUCGGACGCCGAUGAAGGACGUGGCCGGCUGCGAUAAGCUACGGUGAGCUGCUGAGCAAGCUAUGACCCGUAGAUCUCCGAAUGGGGAAACCCAGCACUCUUAAUCGGGUGUUAUUCCCGCCUGAACACAUAGGGCGGGUAAAGGUAAGUCGGGGAACUGAAACAUCUCAGUACCCGGAGGAACAGAAAGAAACCUCGAUUCCCAAAGUAGUGGCGAGCGAAAUGGGAACAGCCCAAACCUGUUAUGUGUAAGCCUGGAGGCGUUGCAUUUCAGGGGUUGUAGGAUCGUCAUUCUCAGAGCUCCAGUUCUGAGCGACAGUUACAAAGGAACGCGGUAGUGGAAGCUUCUGGAAAGUUGCACCACAGAGGGUAACAGUCCCGUACGCGAAAUUGCGUUCCCUGUCGUUGACGACACCUGAGUAGCGCCGUGCACGUGAAACGCGGCGUGAACCCGCGGGGACCACCCCGUAAGGCUAAAUACGUUCCGAUGACCGAUAGUGCACCAGUACCGUGAGGGAAAGGUGAAAAGCACCCCGGAAGGGGAGUGAAAUAGAUCCUGAAACCGUAUGCCUACAAGUAG